rnacentral:rRNA from 1 species
UACGUAGGGGGCAAGCGUUGUCCGGAAUCAUUGGGCGUAAAGCGCGUGUAGGCGGCUCGGUAAGUCCGCUCUGAAAGUCCAGGGCUCAACCCUGGGAUGCGGGUGGAUACUGCCGGGCUCGAGUCCGGAAGAGGCGAGUGGAAUUCCCGGUGUAGCGGUGAAAUGCGCAGAUAUCGGGAGGAACACCAAUGGCGAAGGCAGUUCUCUGGGCCUUACCUGACGCCUGGAGGAGCGAAAGCGUGGGGAGCGAACAGG